rnacentral:rRNA from 1 species
CGUGUAGGCGGCCGAUUAAGUCUGGAGUGAAAGUCCUGCUUUCAAGGUGGGAAUUGCUUUGGAGACUGGUUGGCUUGAGUGCGGAAGAGGCAAGUGGAAUUCCCAGUGUAGCGGUGAAAUGCGUAGAGAUUGGGAGGAACACCAGUGGCGAAGGCGACUUGCUGGGCCGUAACUGACGCUGAGGCGCGAAAGCGUGGGGAGCGAACA